GAUGAACGCUGGCGGCGUGCCUAAUACAUGCAAGUCGAGCGAACAGACGAGGAGCUUGCUCCUUCGACGUUAGCGGCGGACGGGUGAGUAACACGUAGGUAACCUACCUAUAAGACUGGGAUAACUUCGGGAAACCGGAGCUAAUACCGGAUAAUAUUUCGAACCGCAUGGUUCGAUAGUGAAAGAUGGCUUUGCUAUCACUUAUAGAUGGACCUGCGCCGUAUUAGCUAGUUGGUAAGGUAACGGCUUACCAAGGCAACGAUACGUAGCCGACCUGAGAGGGUGAUCGGCCACACUGGAACUGAGGCACGGUCCAGACUCCUACGGGAGGCAGCAGUAGGGAAUCUUCCGCAAUGGGCGAAAGCCUGACGGAGCAACGCCGCGUGAGUGAUGAAGGUCUUCGGAUCGUAAAACUCUGUUAUUAGGGAAGAACAAACGUGUAAGUAACUGUGCACGUCUUGACGGUACCUAAUCAGAAAGCCACGGCUAACUACGUG
rnacentral:rRNA from 1 species